CCAUCAUACGCUCACUAACCAUGUCUCUCAAGGUCGUCGUCGUCGCCUGCGUGGCUGUCGUCGCUCUGUGCGACAAGGCUCCUGUCUACGCCCCUCCUCCCCCCGCCUACGCCCCUGCACCUUACCACGCCCCCGAACCCGCCUACCACGCCCCUGCUCACUACGAGCCCGAAUACCCUGAUGUCCCACCCAAGUACAACUACAACUACGGCGUCGCCGACGGCUACUCCGGC